GAGAACAGAUGCUCAGGAAAUGUUUGUUGAGUGAAUAAAUGUGUGAACUGGGAGGAGUUACUUCUCCUCUCUGGGCCUCAGUUUCUUCACCUGUAAAAUGAGGGAGUUGCUCUCUCAGGUCCUUGCAACUCUGAUGUUCUUAAAUUCAAUAGGAAAAGGUUCCCGCAGACCCUCAGCCACCACAUCUCAGGAACAGGCUGGGGUUAAGGCUCGAGAUUGAUCUUUGGCUGGUGGAAGGAGGGUUCCAGCUGUCACCCGGCUCCCUUGACUCUGGGUUGUGGCGUGAGGGGUCAGGUGACACCCAGCCAGUGAUAGGUGGCAUUAUCAGUGCUGGUCUCUGCCAGAAAUUUCUCUGUGCAUAAAUCCCAGAUGUUCCUUCCUUCCCCGCUGGUGCCACUGAAAACAACACAGCUUGUCCCAUCUGCUCUAGACACAUUGUAAGGGUGAGCAGGAGGCACCCACCUGCUGGCCAAUUGUGCCCCCGCCCUGACCCACCGCCCCUGGGAGGGACUCUCCAGAGCUGCAGGAUGAUGUCCAGACUCCAAGAUGUGGUCUUCAGGGCCCUGGCCUAACUGCCCAACCCACCUCCCCCAAACCACUAAACAGACUCUGUGCCCCCCAGAGAUGGACCGGACCCAGCAUCGCUCCGUGUCCUGCCUCUGCCUUUGCUCUGGCUGUGUCCUCUCCUCCCCUUUCCCUGGGUUCGUAACUUACUCAUCCUUUGAGAUCCAGCUGAAAAGCCACAUUUUUCCUGCCCCCAACCUGGAAGUAACCACUCAGCCACCUGAACUCCCAUGGACCAUCAGCUCCCUUCUUUAGGGCAGGCAUCGCUUUCUCCUCUUAUCGCAACAGCUACGUGUGCCCCUGUCUGCCUCCUCCCCAGCUAUCCGCUCCUGGGAGUCAGGAUGCUCGGCUGAUGCAUCUUUGUGUCCUAUUCAGGGCUAGCUCAGCUUCAGGCUUGUGAACAGAAUGAAUGGGUGGGUGGGUGGAUAAAUGAAUGAGUGAAUGAAACCUAUGAGAAUCUACUUUAUUCCCAGAAAGGUCUGUAUCCAAGCCCUUUUACACUCACUGAGUGCUGUGUGCCCAAAACUGGGACUGGCCAUGGUGACCUGGACAAACACAGUUCCUGCUCUCUUGGCAGUUCAAUCUAGUGGAGGCGAGUGACAAAUAAAUUAGGCCGUUAAGAGUUCCCCUUGUGGCUCAGAUACUCUGACAUAGUAUCUAUGAGGAUGCAGGUUUGAUCCCUGGCCUCACCCAGUGAGUUACGUGUCUGGCAUUGCUGCAAGCUGAGGUGUGGGUCACAGAUGAAGCUUGGAUCCCACAUUGCUGUGGCGAAGGCCAGCAGCUGCAGCUCUGAUUUGACCCUUGGCCCGGGAACUUCCAUAUGCCACAGAUGUAGCUACAUAAAAAAAAAAUUAGGCCAAUAAACAAGUGGUUACACAAGUGAUGAAUGAGGUCAAGGAAAAUACAGCGGCUGUGAUGGAGAGUAGAGGCGGAGAAAUCCUCUUGGAGAAGGGACAUUAGAGCCUCGACCAGGGAGUGAGAAGGAACAGCCACGUGAAGAGGGAGGAGGAGACACGAGCUCCAGGGAGAGCAGAAGCCGAAAGCCAGGCAUGAGUCUGGGGGUCAAGGAUCUGGAAGGAAGCCAGGAGGACAGGUCCGCAGACAGAGGUGAAGAGGUGGAUGGAGAAUGGCUCACCAGGGCCCCGGAGACCGCCGUGAGAAAUUGAGGUUUUAUUCUAAGUGCAACAGGAAGUUACUAGAGAAAUUUAAGCAGCAGAGACACCAUGAUGACACAACUACAAGUUUCUUGUUUUUAAAAUAGCCCCAGCUGCUUUAUGGGACUGGUUUGAAGAGGUCAGGAACAAAAGCAGGUAGCUAUUGCAAGAAAUUGUUGUGGCUCAGAAGGUGAAGAACCUGACUAGGAUCCAUGAGGAUGCGGGUUUGAUCCCUGGCCUCACUCAGUGGGUUAAGGAUCUGGCGUUGCCAUGGCCUCUGGUGUAGGUCACAAACUCGGCUCAGAUCCAGCAUGGCUGUGGCAUAAGCCAGCGGCUGCAGCUCUGAUUCAACCACUAGCCUGGGAGCUUCCAUAUGCCAUAGGGGCAGCCAUGAAAAGCAAAAAAAAAAAAAAAAAAAA
rnacentral:lncRNA from 1 species